CAAAUUCUUCUCUAAUCUAUUAAUUCCAAAUUUUCAUCUAUGGUGUUUUGAAAUAGAUGAGAAUUGAGAAGUUGGAACAUGGACUGUGGUGGAACUGGGAGUCAGAUUUAGUCACUUUAGUUGGACAGCAUACCUGUUUUACACAAACUACGGUCAAGAACAUGUUGAACAAUGUGAUCGUGUUCUUCAGACACGUUGAGAGCUCAUUUACAAAGGCUCAAGAAGAAAGACUUCAUGACACUUCAGUACGAACUUAAGAGAAUCGUGGCUAACGUCCAGAAAAAACUUGUCGUCCACCGGCAGAAAGCGUUACGCCUUAAGACAGACAAUCAGCUUAGUCCAGUCCAAGAAAAGCAAUUAAUGAUUACUGCCAGGAGAAGAAUUCCUGAACUGUUUAAAAGCGUAACCUGCAAUGGGGGAGAGGAAGUUGAGCAUUCCAAGCUGAUUGGCUACAUAAUGGGCUACCUGUCCAUGCUCACCGGACACAGAUCCAUUGCACUCACCAACAUGACAGAGGAACAUGUGAUCAACUGUGAGAUGUGGAGUCAUGGCAAGAGGUUGCAAGUUCUGGUUAGUAUUUAUUUAGGGGUGGUGGGUCCAAGCAAAGAACAUUUCAUUGGUGAAAUUAAACUGUCUUAUCUUUGUUGAAGUCAGCAUUGCAUAGUUCCAUAAACCACACACAAAAGUCAGCAGUGAAUCGUUCUGCUCUUUUAAAGUCCACCCCUCCACAGAAAUACACUAAUGUUUUGCAUUUUAUAUCCUAACGUGGAUGACCACAAAACUGUGAGAUCAUUCGGUCAAGCUGCAUUUCCCCUCAACAAUGAGGACUAUCAGUGGCUUGAAUACCUGACUAAGAGCAUGUGCUGUAAGCCAGGCCAGGACAGCAACUGUGUGUU